GAUGAGCGCUGGCGGUGCGCCUAAUGCAUGCAAGUCGAGCGACGCACUCCGGAGGGGUAACCCACUGGAAUGACGGAGCGGCGAACGGGUGAGUAACACGUGAGCAACCUGCCCCACAGACCGGGAUAGCCCAGGGAAACCUGGAUUAAUACCGGAUACCCUCGUAGGACCGCAUGGUCCAUCGAGGAAAAGCCUUUGUGCUGUGGGAUGGGCUCGCGACUUAUCAGCUAGUUGGUGGGGUAACGGCCUACCAAGGCAUUGACGAGUAGCUGGUCUGAGAGGACGAUCAGCCACACUGGAACUGAGACACGGUCCAGACUCCUACGGGAGGCAGCAGCAGGGAAUCUUGCGCAAUGGGCGAAAGCCUGACGCAGCGACACCGCGUGGGGGAUGAAGGCCUUCGGGUUGUAAACCCCUUUCAGGAGGGAAGAAAUUGACGGUACCUCCACAAGAAGGACCGGCCAACUACGUG
rnacentral:rRNA from 1 species